rnacentral:rRNA from 1 species
AACGUAGGAGGCAAGCGUUAUCCGGAUUUACUGGGCGUAAAGCGCGUGCAGGCGGUGGAUUAAGUCGUGCGUGAAAGCGCCCAGCUCAACUGGGCGAGGUCGUGCGAGACUGGUUCACUAGAGACAGACAGAGGCGAGUAGAAUUCCGGGUGUAGUGGUGAAAUGCGUAGAGAUCCGGAGGAAUACCAGUGGCGAAGGUGGCUCGCGGGGUCUGGUAUGACGAUCAGACGCGACAGCAUGGGGAGCGAACGGG